GGAAAGUUUGCGUUACCGACAUGGAUGGGAAAAUAAAUGCCAUAAUGGGUGAGGUUUCUGUGUCAGGCAUUCCAUCUGAGGAUGUUCCCCUGGACACCGACUUACAUCAACCUGGAUGUGAGGAUAUGGCUAAUACACCUGACAGUAAUGAAGAGGAGCACAUGGAACCGCAGGCCGGACCAGCUGUGUCAGCCCCCCGCCAUCUCCCACGCACACAAGUGGUGUCAGAUGCCAUUCUGAAAAAUCAAGAAAGCAUUUUAAAAUGUCUGCAAAAUAUGUCUGGCACUUUGGAGAAAAUAUCAGACYGUCUGGCAUGCAUAGCUGAUGUGCUGACUAAAUCMCAACAAAAUAAAAUGUGAAUUAAAAAAGUCCAAGUCUGAAUAAAGCUGUUCAUUAUAUUAAAUUAAUUAGGCUACAACAUCAUGGCCUGCCUUAAAGCCGUGCAAUUAACUGCUGUCUUGUGAUGAUAGCAUUUUCCUGGUGUGGUCCAUGUGGGCGGUCUUGUGGCAUUUCUUCUGCUGGUGCUGGAUCGGGGAAUGGAACGCCUUCCUUCACUGCAAUAUUGUGCAAUAUGCAGCAUGCCAGAAUAAUUU